rnacentral:rRNA from 1 species
AUGAUAGGAACAAGAGAAACAAUCUCAGUUUGGAAGUCUCGUCAUUCCAGACAUCAGAUUUUUGAGCUAUUUGUCGUUUCAUAUUUACCUUUUCAAAGGAAUACGAGAAAGAAUUUUAGUUUAGAAGUCUUUAUACGAAUCACAAGAAGUACAAAUCAGCGGGGGCGUGAGGCCCUGGCAGGCGGACCGGCCUCGGCCGGGAACGGCGGCGGCCAGCGGCGAUGGGGCAGCAGGGCGCGGCACGGCGUGGCUGGCAAUGCGGGGCGGGGACAGCGGGCGAGGCCGCCGCAGGGUGCAGGGGCGGGCCAGCGGGAGCGAGGCGACGCAAGCUGCACGGCCGAGCAGAGCAGCAGCGGGCGUCAGAGGUGGACGGCGGCGAUGCGAGCUCGGCCGCGGGCGCGACCGGCGACAACGGGCGUGGGGUGCACGUGCGGCGGCUGCACGUGCAUGGGCGUGGUGGGCGGAGCUAGCAGCGGCAACAGCUUGCGUAGCUCGGGCGCGUUUGAGCGGCACCGGCGGUCACGCACGAGCUGUAGCAGGUGGUGCGGGCGAGGUCGGCGCGAGGCAAGUAGGACGCGGCCAGACGAGGGCGGGGCCGCGGUUAGCUCGACAAGGGGGGAUGGCGAGCGUGGCCGGGCGCGCAGAGGCACGGGCGAAGGAAGCAGGCGCGGCGAUGCUGCAAGCGGGAGUGGGCGAGAUCCAGAGGAGCAACGGCCAAUGGCGCGGGGCGCGGCGGGCGCGGCCGAGGAGCAGCAGUGCAGCAGCAGAAGCAAUGUUGAGCAGGCAGUAGCAGCAGCGGCUCAAGCACGCACGUACGUAGUAGCUCGAGCUCCGACCAUGGUCACUACACACGACCACGGGAGCGGCGGUAAACGGCACAGAUCGAAGGGGCAAAGCGGUGGAAUCGGCAGAGAGGCUCACCGAGAGGCACACAGGUGGCCGGCGAGAGGUUAG